AAAAUAAUCCUACCCUUUGUGAAUUUUGUUUGUUUGAAUAAUUUUUUUUUUUUAAAAAAUUAUUGGAGUCUUUCCCUUUAGGUUUGCUUUUGAGUUUGUAAAAGAAUUCGAAAACAUCUAAAGGGGAUGGUCAAUAAUUUUUUUUGAAAAAAGACAUUUUUUAAAAUUAAACUUUUUGUAUUCAUUUGUCUAAAAAUUAUUUUUAUAAUAUAAAAACAACUUUUGACAAUGGAUCUCUUGGUUCUCGCAACGAUGAAGAACGCAGCAAAAUGCGAUAAGUAGUGUGAAUUGCAGAAUACGUGAAUCAUCGAAUCUUUGAACGCAUAUUGCACUUUUUUAGUUUACUAAAAAAGUAUGUCUGUUUGAGUAUCAGUAAAAUAUUCUCAUAAAAAUCAUUGGUAUUUUUAUGGUUAUGAGUGUUUUGCAACGAUACAAGUUGUUUCACUUUAAAUUUUUUUUUAAUAUUGAAAUUUUUCUAAUUUUAAUAAUUAAAAUUGGAUAAAAUUUUCCCGUCAAAAGGAAUAACCUAAAUAAUUUUAAACGAUUAAUUUUAGCAAAAUUUUCGUAAAAAAGGAAAAUUUUUAUUAAAAUAACUUGAUCUCAAAUCAGAUAAGAGUACCCGCUGAGCUUAAGCAUAUCAAUAAGCGGAGGAAAAGAAACUAACAAGGAUUCCCUUAGUAACGGCGAGUGAAGCGGGGAGAGCUCAAAUUUGAAAUCUUCAAGGUUUUACCUUGACGAAUUGUAGUUUAAAGAAGUGUUUUUUGCUGAAGUUUUGGUAAAAGUUCUUUGGAAUAGGACAUCAUAGAGGGUGAGAAUCCCGUAUUUGACCAUUAUUUUCAGCUUUGUGAUACACUUUCAAAGAGUCGGAUUGUUUGGGAAUGCAGUCCAAAAUGGGUGGUAAAUUUCAUCUAAAGCUAAAUAUUGGCGAGAGACCGAUAGCGAACAAGUACCGUGAGGGAAAGAUGAAAAGAACUUUGAAAAGAGAGUUAAACAGUACGUGAAAUUGUCAAAAGGGAAGCGUUUGACACCAGUGUUGUUUUCUCGAAAAUCAAUUAAAAAUGGCUCGAUUUUGUAUUGCUGAGACCUUAAAAGCUCACUGUACAUUUUUCGUGUCUUUUUUAAUGCACUUUUCGUUUAACAAGUCAACAUCAGUUUCUUUUGUUGUAAAAGGGUCAUUGGAAGGUGGCUUUCUUUUCGGAGAAAGUGUUUAUAACCUUUGGCCUCUGCAAUCGGAGAGACUGAGGUCUGCAGCGUAGACUCUUCGGGGUUAGAUACAUUUGUGCUAAGUUAUAGCUUUUUAUAGACAACUUGUUGACUAUAAUUAGUCUUGUAGCUUACUCGCUUAUGCUAUUU
rnacentral:misc_RNA from 1 species